UGUGACAACACACACUGUCUCCCCCUUGGUUCAGAGAAGGGUGAUCACACAGGCCACAGGAUGGGAAGGAAAGGAAUGACUGCUUGAGAAAUCAUUCCAGAGAUGGAGUCCUCCAGCCUCUCCAUAGAGAUGAGGAAAUGCAGGUCCAGAGAAGUGAGGGGAGUUCCCUAUACCACUGAAUUGGAAUUCUGGUUUCUAUUCCUAAUAGAACUAUUGUGAAGACCUAAUGAGAUGACAGUCUGGAGAUGCUCUGCACGUCUUGAAGGGCUGUUUGAUGUCAACUAGUAUCAACUCUAACUUAGGAACGGGAUAAAGAAUAGCUCCCUGGGAGGACUCUAUUGGGAAAUCUACGAUGGCUAACAGAGAGAGGCAAGGUCAUUCAUCUCUACAUGUCCCAUCCAGCUUCCCUGCUCUGGCUCUGCUUGAUCAUGUCAGGAGCCUCAUCAUCCUGGAAGAUCACAUCAACACUAGAACUCACAUCAUCUCAGUACCAUCUACUCCUGGGGCUCCUCCUUCCCCCUCACUGGAGAGGAGGUUAGGGGGAAAGAAAGCCCUUCCCAGAUCCUCCCUUUAAGGAGUAUGCCCAGGCUAGCUAUCUGCUUCCCAUCUGACUGUAUUACUCUGGAUUUCAUCAUGAUGGGUACUUCCUCCACCCACGCUCAUCCCCACUUUUCAGCUUCUUUUUUUUAUAUUUGUCCCACCAUUAGACUGUGAGAUCCAUGAGGGCAAUC